UACGUAGGGAGCAAGCGUUGUCCGGAAUCAUUGGGCGUAAAGCGCGCGUAGGUGGCCUCGUAAGUCCGCUGUGAAAGUCCAAGGCUCAACCUUGGAAAGCCGGUGGAUACUGUGAGGCUAGAGUACGGAAGAGGCGAGUGGAAUUCCUGGUGUAGCGGUGGAAUGCGCAGAUAUCAGGAGGAACACCAAUGGCGAAGGCAGCUCGCUGGGACGUGACUGACGCUGAGACGCGAAAGCGUGGGGAGCAAACAGG
rnacentral:rRNA from 1 species